GAUCCUGGCUCAGAAUGAACGUUGGCGGCGUGGAUUAGGCAUGCAAGUCGAGCGAGAAGUCCUUCGGGACGGACAGCGGCGAAAGGGAGAGGAAUACGUAGAAAUCUACCCCUGAGACCGGGAUAGCGUCGGGAAACUGGCAGUAAUACCGGAUAACGUCUUAGGACCAAAGGUGUGAUUCCACUUGGGGAUGAGUCUACGCCCUAUUAGCUAGUUGGUGGGGUAAUGGCCUACCAAGGCGAUGAUGGGUAGCGGGGUGUGAGAGCAUGAUCCGCCUCACUGGGACUGAGAACUGCCCAGACACCUACGGGGUGGCUGCAGUCGAGAAUCUUUGUCAAUGGACGAAAGUCUGAACAAGCGACGCCGCGUGCGGGGAUGAAGGCCUUCGGGUUGUAAACCGCUGUCGUAGGGGAACAAAUGUACGGGGG
rnacentral:rRNA from 1 species